UGAAAGUGGGGGGCACGCGUUACUUUCCCCACACACGGUCUGCAAACACACCUCUACAAGGACAGUGAUUUUGAUGUUCUAUCAUCUUUCAAAAGAGGCAAAAAUAUUUGUUUAGUUUAAACAAUACUAGAGUAUCAUAAGAACCACCAACACCAAUUAAACAGGAAGAAAGAAGAGUUGCACAGUUUUGGAUCUUAAUGAGAAAUAAUUCCCUUCCAGGUAUCCGUCAGGGGGAGUGCGCAACACGCAGCGAUGUGCCGGUAAUACCUGGAACUUUCCUUCAACUUCCAGUCAUGUUCCUUCCAGCGGACGGAGCCCUCCCUGGCUGAGGCGGAUCUGAGGCUGGGGUAGUUCCCAUGGAGAGAGAAAGUUUUGCCCCCCCUCUAUCUUCUCUCCACGGUUUCUCACUCCUACACUAAACCGAUCCGGUUUGCACAAUCGAUGCAACAUGGCCGGUUAUUCGCGGGACCUAAUGCAGCGUAACCUUGCCUAUAGCAGAACAGACCAGCUGUGAUUAACCUGAUGCCCUGGCCUGAGAACAACCCACGCCGAGAGCACAGCACAGCUACGACGGUUUGCCUAUGACCCAGCAGCUCCCAGGGGACAGAGGGCCUGCUAAAAACAUCAGGACACCGAAUACUUGUCUGGAUGUGGAGUACGUCCCAGCCAGACAGCCCUUUUUCAGACCAGUGUAGUCAGGAAGCAUUACACCAUUAGAAGCCUAAUGCUUGGCUAUGUUCCCCCAGUAUAUCCACGGCUAGUGGAGUUACAGAAAUCAGCAGCUACCUAAAUUAUAAUAAUAAUAAUAAUAAUACAGAAAAAAUGUAAUAAUGUAAUAAAUGUAAUAAUAAUUUUAAAAAUGUAUUUAUAUUGCACUUUUCAAGGACCCAAAGAUGCUUACAAUAGCUUCUACAAAAAUAAAUAAAUAAAUAAAACAUUCUGCUGAUAUCUGCAGG